rnacentral:rRNA from 1 species
AUUGAACGCUGGCGGCAGGCCUAACACAUGCAAGUCGAACGAGUGGCGGACGGGUGAGUAAUGUCUGGGAAACUGCCUGAUGGAGGGGGAUAACUACUGGAAACGGUAGCUAAUACCGCAUACCAUCAGCUGUGCCCAGUUGGGAUUAGCUUGUGGGUGGGGUAACGGAUCACCAAGGCGACGAUCCCUAGCUGGUCUGAGAGGAUGACCGGCCAAACGGGACCUGAGACACGGUCCAGACCCCUACGGGGGGCAGCAGUGGGGAAUAUUGCACAUGGGUGGCAAUCCUGAUGCAGCCAGCCCGGGUGUAUGAAGAAGGCCUUCGGGUUGUAAAGUACUUUCAGCGGGGAGACUUUACCCGCAGAAGAAGCACCGGCUAACUCCGUGCCAGCAGCCACGGUAAUU